UACAGAGGGUGCUAGCGUUGUUCGGAAUCAUUGGGCGUAAAGGGCGUGUAGGCGGUUUGUUAAGUCAUGUGUGAAAUCCCUCGGCUCAACCGAGGAACUGCCGUUGAUACUGUCAAUCUUGAGUACAUUUGAUGUGGGGCGGAAUGUGUCAUGUAGCGGUGAAAUGCUUAGAUAUGACACAGAACACCAUUGCGAAGGCAGCUCACAAAACUGUAAACUGACGCUGAGGCACGAAAGCGUGGGUAGUCAAA
rnacentral:rRNA from 1 species